rnacentral:rRNA from 1 species
GACGAACGCUGGCGGCGUGCUUAACACAUGCAAGUCGAACGGUAAGGCCCUUCGGGGUACACGAGUGGCGAACGGGUGAGUAACACGUGGGUGAUCCGCCCUGCACUUCGGGAUAAGCCUGGGAAACUGGGUCUAAUACCGGAUAGGACCACUGCCUGCAUGGGUGGUGGGGGAAAGCUUUUGCGGUGUGGGAUGGGCCCGCGGCCUAUCAGCUUGUUGGUGGGGUGAUGGCCUAACAAGGCGACGGCGGGUAGCCGGCCUGAGAGGGGGACCGGCCACACUGGGACUGAGAUACGGCCCAGACUCCUCCGGGAGGCAGCAGUCGGGAAUAUUGCACAAUGGGCGCAAGCCUGAUGCAGCGACGCCGCGUGAGGGAUGACGGCCUUCGGGUUGUAAACCUCUUUCAGCACCGACGAAGCGCAAGUGACGGUAGGUGCAGAAGAAGGACCGGCCAACUACGUGCCAGCCGCCGCAGUAA